UACGUAGGGGGCAGGCGUUGUCCGGAAUCAUUGGGCGUAAAGAGCGUGUAGGCGGCUUGGUAAGUCCGCUGUGAAAGUCCAGGGCUCAACCCUGGAAAGCCGGUGGAAACUGUCAAGCUUGAGUCCGGAAGAGGCGAGUGGAAUUCCUGGUGUAGCGGUGAAAUGCGCAGAUAUCAGGAGGAACACCAAUGGCGAAGGCAGCUCGCUGGGACGGUACUGACGCUGAGACGCGAAAGCGUGGGGAGCAAACAGG
rnacentral:rRNA from 1 species